UACGUAGGGUGCGAGCGUUGUCCGGAAUUAUUGGGCGUAAAGGGCUCGUAGGCGGUUUGGCGCGUCGGGAGUGAAAACCUUGGGCUUAACUCCGGGCUUGCUUUCGAUACGGGCAGACUAGAGGUAUGCAGGGGAGAACGGAAUUCCUGGUGUAGCGGUGAAAUGCGUAGAGAUCUCCAAGAACACCCGUUGCGAAGGCGGCUAGCUGGGUUGACAUUGACGCUGAGGCUCGAAAGCGUGGGGAGCAAACAGG
rnacentral:rRNA from 1 species